CGCUCUACCCCUACUCAUCCUACGCAGAGCCCCCAUGACCUCCUCUAACCUAAUGCGCCUGCAGCACCCAAGGUCCCUAUGACGCUCUGAGUGCCCCAGUUCCCCUAGCUCUAUGUUACGAUCCCCCUCCUCGUUAAGUAAGUCCCGAAAGUACUCCUACCACCUCUGUUUGAUUUGAGAGUCCCCCAACAGAACUCUACCAUCC
rnacentral:lncRNA from 1 species